rnacentral:rRNA from 1 species
AAACUUUCAACAACGGAUCUCUUGGUUCUGGCAUCGAUGAAGAACGCAGCGAAAUGCGAAAAGUAAUGCGAAUUGCAGAAUUCCGUGAGUCAUCGAAUCUUUGAACGCACAUUGCGCCCUUUGGUAUUCCGAAGGGCAUGCCUGUUCGAGCGUCAUUA